UACGAAGGGUGCAAGCGUUACUCGGGAUUACUGGGCGUAAAGCGUGCGUAGGUGGUUUGUUAAGUCUGAUGUGAAAGCCCUGGGCUCAACCUGGGAACUGCAUUGGAAACUGGCUGACUAGAGUGCGGUAGAGGGGUGUGGAAUUCCCGGUGUAGCAGUGAAAUGCGUAGAUAUCGGGAGGAACACCAGUGGCGAAGGCGACACCCUGGACCAGCACUGACACUGAGGCACGAAAGCGUGGGGAGCAAACAGG
rnacentral:rRNA from 1 species